rnacentral:rRNA from 1 species
GGAAUUAUUGGGCGUAAAGAGCUCGUAGGCGGUUUGUCGCGUAUGCUGUGAAAUCCCGAGGCUCAACCUCGGGCCUGCAGUGGGUACGGGCAGACUAGAGUGCGGUAAGGGAGAUUGGAAUCCCUGGUGUAGCGGUGGAAUGCGCAGAUAUCAGGAGGAACACCGAUGGCGAAGGCAGAUCUCUGGGCCGUAACUGACGCUGAGGAGCGAAAGGGUGGGGAGCAAACAGGCUUAGAUACCCUGGUAGUCCACCCCGUAAACGUUGGGAACUAGUUGUGGGGUCCAUUCCACGGAUUCCGUGACGCAGCUAACGCAUUAAGUUCCCCACCUGGGGAGUACGGCCGCAAGGCUAAAACUCAAAGUAAUUGACGGGGACCCGCACAAGCGGCGGAGCAUGCGGAUUAAUUCGAUGCAACGCGAAGAACCGUACCAAGGCGUGACAUAUACGAGAACGGGCCAGAAAUGGUCAACUCUUUGGACACUCGUAAACAGGUGGUGCAUGGUUGUCGUCAGCUCGUGUCGUGAGAUGUUGGGUUAAGUCCCGCAACGAGCGCAACCCUCGUUCUAUGUUGCCAGCACGUAAUGUUGGGAACUCAUGGGAUACUGCCGGGGUCAACUCGGAGGAAGGUGGGGAUGACGUCAAAUCAUCAUGCCCCUUAUGUCUUGGGCUUCACGCAUGCUACAAUGGCCGGUACAAAGGGCUGCAAUACCGUGAGGUGGAGCGAAUCCCAAAAAGCCGGUCCCAGUUCGGAUUGAGGUCUGCAACUCGACCUCAUGAAGUCGGAGUCGCU